rnacentral:rRNA from 1 species
AACGAGCGCAACCCUUAAGCUUAGUUGCCAUCAUUAAGUUGGGCACUCUAAGUUGACUGCCGGUGACAAACCGGAGGAAGGUGGGGAUGACGUCAAAUCAUCAUGCCCCUUAUGAUUUGGGCUACACACGUGCUACAAUGGACAAUACAAAGGGCAGCGAAACCGUGAGGUCAAGCAAAUCCCAUAAAGUUGUUCUCAGUUCGGAUUGUAGUCUGCAACUCGACUACAUGAAGCUGGAAUCGCUAGUAAUCGUAGAUCAGCAUGCUACGGUGAAUACGUUCCCGGGUCUUGUACACACCGCCCGUCACACCACGAGAGUUUGUAACACCCGAAGCCGGUGGAGUAACCUUUUAGGAGCUAGCCGUCGAAGGUGGGACAAAUGAUUGGGGUGAAGUCGUAACAAGGUAGCCGUAUCGGAAGGUGCGGCUGGAUCACCUCCUUUCUAAGGA